GCGGGUGUAGUAUAACGGUUAUUACGCAGCCUUGCCAAGGCUGAAAAGGGGGUUCGACUCCCCUCACCCGCUCAA
rnacentral:tRNA from 1 species